rnacentral:rRNA from 1 species
AUUGAACGCUGGCGGCAGGCCUAACACAUGCAAGUCGAACGGUAACAGGAAGAAGCUUGCUUCUUUGCUGACGAGUGGCGGACGGGUGAGUAAUGUCUGGGAAACUGCCUGAUGGAGGGGGAUAACUACUGGAAACGGUAGCUAAUACCGCAUAACGUUGCAAGACCAAAGAGGGGGACCUUCGGGCCUCUUGCCAUCGGAUGUGCCCAGAUGGGAUUAGCUUGUUGGUGGGGUAACGGCUCACCAAGGCGACGAUCCCUAGCUGGUCUGAGAGGAUGACCAGCCACACUGGAACUGAGACACGGUCCAGACUCCUACGGGAGGCAGCAGUGGGGAAUAUUGCACAAUGGGCGCAAGCCUGAUGCAGCCAUGCCGCGUGUAUGAAGAAGGCCUUCGGGUUGUAAAGUACUUUCAGCGGGGAGGAAGGGAGUAAAGUUAAUACCUUUGCUCAUUGACGUUACCCGCAGAAGAAGCACCGGCUAACUCCGUGCCAGCAGCCGCGGUAA